CGGGAUGAUGACUUUGCCGAGUGCUGAGCUGGUGAUGAGUAAACAGUCGUCUGAC
rfam:Pyrococcus horikoshii OT3 DNA, complete genome.